AGCGAACGCUGGCGGCAGGCUUAACACAUGCAAGUCGAACGGAUCCUUCGGGAUUAGUGGCGGACGGGUGAGUAACACGUGGGAACGUGCCUUUUGGUUCGGAACAACACAGGGAAACUUGUGCUAAUACCGGAUGUGCCCUUCGGGGGAAAGGAUUUAUCGCCAUUAGAGCGGCCCGCGUCUGAUUAGCUAGUUGGUGAGGUAAAGGCUCACCAAGGCUACGAUCAGUAGCUGGUCNGAGAGGAUGAUCAGCCACACUGGGACUGAGACACGGCCCAGACUCCUACGGGAGGCAGCAGUGGGGAAUCUUGCGCAAUGGGGAAACCCGUGACGCAGCCAUGCCGCGUGAAUGAUGAAGGUCUUAGGAUUGUAAAAUUCUUUCAGCGGGGACGAUAAUGACGGUACCCGCAGAAGAAGCUCCGGCUAACUUCGUGCCAGCCGCCGCCGUAAC
rnacentral:rRNA from 1 species